AGAAAACAUGCAGUCUGUAAUCUACCCCCAUGUCAGUGUAGAGAGGCCUGUUCAUGAAGACACAAAAUCCUUCGACGACACCAAAGAUAUUACACAGUGUAGAUGGGCGGAUAGAAAGCGUGAACAUCAAAAGCCAUCGUGUGUUACCCAGUUUCCAUUCUGCAUCUAACAAUAGGAACCAAGCAUCCAACAUCAUAACUUUAUUAUUAUAUAGUCCAGACAAUGAAUGCUCAAAAGAGGGUAUAGAGAGAAAAGUUUGGAAGACUAUAUUUGACCCCGCAAUUUUGUUUUGGGUAUUAAGG